rfam:Myotis lucifugus cont2.47293, whole genome shotgun sequence.
GGGGAAGUGAAAGAUGGUGGACGGCGGAACAUGUGCUUCAUUCGAGCCAUAUGUCUGCCGACCAUCACCUUGAGAAGCCC